rnacentral:rRNA from 1 species
GCGGCCUAUCAGCUUGUUGGUGAGGUAAUGGCUCACCAAGGCUACGACGGGUAUCCGGCCUGAGAGGGCGACCGGACACACUGGGACUGAGACACGGCCCAGACUCCUACGGGAGGCAGCAGUGGGGAAUAUUGGGCAAUGGACGAAAGUCUGACCCAGCGACGCCGCGUGAGGGAUGAAGGCCUUCGGGUUGUAAACCUCUUUCAGUAGGGAAGAAGCGAAAGUGACGGUACCUAAAGAAGAAGCACCGGCUAACUAUGUGCCAGCAGCCGCGGUAAUACAUAGGGUGCAAGCGUUGUCCGGAAUUAUUGGGCGUAAAGAGCUCGUAGGUGGUUUGUUGCGUCGGGUGUGAAAUUCAGGGGCUCAACCCCUGACCUGCACUCGAUACGGGCAAGCUAGAGUUUGGUAGGGGAGACUGGAAUUCCU